rnacentral:rRNA from 1 species
AGUGAACGCUGGCGGUAGGCCUAACACAUGCAAGUCGAACGGCAGCACAGUAAGAGCUUGCUCUUACGGGUGGCGAGUGGCGGACGGGUGAGGAAUACAUCGGAAUCUACUUUUUCGUGGGGGAUAACGUAGGGAAACUUACGCUAAUACCGCAUACGACCUACGGGUGAAAGCAGGGGAUCUUCGGACCUUGCGCGGUUGAAUGAGCCGAUGUCGGAUUAGCUAGUUGGCGGGGUAAAGGCCCACCAAGGCGACGAUCCGUAGCUGGUCCGAGAGGAUGAUCAGCCACACUGGAACUGAGACACGGUCCAGACUCCUACGGGAGGCAGCAGUGGGGAAUAUUGGACAAUGGGCGCAAGCCUGAUCCAGCCAUACCGCGUGGGUGAAGAAGGCCUUCGGGUUGUAAAGCCCUUUUGUUGGGAAAGAAAAGCAGCAGGUUAAUACCCCGCUGUUCUGACGGUACCCAAAGAAUAAGCACCGGCUAACUUCGUG